rnacentral:rRNA from 1 species
GACGAACGCUGGCGGCGUGCUUAACACAUGCAAGUCGAACGGAAAGGCCCUGCUUUUGUGGGGUGCUCGAGUGGCGAACGGGUGAGUAACACGUGAGUAACCUGCCCUUGACUUUGGGAUAACUUCAGGAAACUGGGGCUAAUACCGGAUAGGAGCUCCUGCUGCAUGGUGGGGGUUGGAAAGUUUCGGCGGUUGGGGAUGGACUCGCGGCUUAUCAGCUUGUUGGUGGGGUAGUGGCUUACCAAGGCUUUGACGGGUAGCCGGCCUGAGAGGGUGACCGGCCACAUUGGGACUGAGAUACGGCCCAGACUCCUCCGGGAGGCAGCAGUGGGGAAUAUUGCACAAUGGGCGGAAGCCUGAUGCAGCAACGCCGCGUGCGGGAGGACGGCCUUCGGGUGGUAAACCGCUUUCGCCUGUGACGAAGCGUGAGUGACGGGAAUGGGUAAAGAAGCACCGGCUAACUACGU